GAUGAACGCUGGCGGCGUGCCUAAUACAUGCAAGUCGAGCGAACGGACGAGAAGCUUGCUUCUCUGAUGUUAGCGGCGGACGGGUGAGUAACACGUGGAUAACCUACCUAUAAGACUGGGAUAACUUCGGGAAACCGGAGCUAAUACCGGAUGAUAUUUUGAACCGCAUGGUUCAAAAGUGAAAGACGGUCUUUCUGGCACUUAUAGAUGGAUCCGCGCUGCAUUAGCUAGUUGGUAAGGUAAUGGCUUACCAAGGCAACGAUGCAUAGCCGACCUGAGAGGGGGAUCGGCCACACUGGAACUGAGACACGGUCCAGACUCCUACGGGAGGCAGCAGUAGGGAAUCUUCCGCAAUGGGCGAAAGCCUGGCGGAGCAGCGCCGCGUGAGUGAUGAAGGUCUUCGGAUCGUAAAACUCUGUUAUUAGGGAAGAACAUAUGUGUAAGUAACUGUGCACAUCUUGACGGUACCUAAUCAGAAAGCCACGGCCAACUACGUG
rnacentral:rRNA from 1 species